rnacentral:misc_RNA from 1 species
GUCCUGAGCCAUGGCGUGCUGCCUGUCGGAAGAGGCGAAAGAGCAAAAGCGUAUCAACCAGGAAAUCGAGAGGCAACUGAGAAGGGACAAACGAGAUGCCAGGAGAGAACUCAAGCUUUUACUACUCGGUACUGGUGAAUCGGGCAAAUCCACGUUCAUCAAACAGAUGAGAAUUAUUCACGGUUCCGGUUAUUCGGACGAAGAUAAGAGAGGAUUUAUCAAGCUUGUCUACCAAAACAUAUUCAUGGCGAUGCAGUCGAUGAUCCGGGCGAUGGAACUACUCAAGAUCGAAUACGGAGAAUCAUCGAAUAUAGAAAAAGCGGAACUCGUGAGAGCAGUCGACUUUGAAACGGUCACAACAUUCGAAAGUCCAUACGUCGAAGCGAUCAAGGACUUGUGGAAUGACAGCGGAAUUCAAGAGUGUUAUGAUCGCAGACGAGAGUAUCAACUAACAGACUCUGCUAAGUAUUAUCUUAGUGACCUAGAACGUAUUGAAAAGCCUGAUUUUCUUCCUACCGAGCAAGAUAUUCUUCGGGCUCGAGCUCCCACUACCGGCAUUAUAGAAUAUCCAUUUGAUCUGGACUCCAUCAUAUUUAGGAUGGUAGAUGUAGGCGGACAGAGAUCGGAAAGAAGAAAAUGGAUUCAUUGUUUUGAGAACGUUACUUCCAUUAUAUUUUUAGUAGCUUUAAGUGAAUACGAUCAAAUUUUAUUCGAAUCGGAAAACGAGAAUCGAAUGGAAGAAAGUAAGGCGCUUUUCAAAACGAUUAUAACAUAUCCCUGGUUUCAACAUUCUUCCGUUAUUUUGUUCCUAAAUAAAAAAGAUCUACUCGAGGAGAAAAUAAUGUAUUCUCAUCUGGUGGAUUAUUUUCCUGAAUAUGAUGGCCCAAAGCAACAAGAUGUACCGGCCAGGGAAUUCAUCUUAAAGGUCUAUCUCAAUUCGAAUCCUGAUCCUGACCGCAUGUGCUACUCUCACUUCACGUGUGCGACAGAUACGGAAAAUAUCAAGCUUGUGUUCUGUGCCGUAAAGGAUACGAUUAUGCAGACUGCUCUUAAGGAAUUUAAUCUUGCCUAAUUACGACCUUAUGGACGAAUUUUUUCAAUUACGUUUUAUUAUAUAUAUAUAUACACACACACACACGCGUACAUGAUGUGUUAUAGGUGAUUUUUUGUCUACAUAUGUUAAAAUUGCUUCUACUACUCAAACAUGCGUUCACAUUUUUUACAUUAUGUUUAUCUUAUUAUCAUGCGAACACAUUAAUAUAUUAUAGAUCCAAAUAAUAGAUUGAACUUAUGUAUUUGUUUUUAAAUGCUAUAAGAAUGCCAAUCUCCAUAUUCCUUUUUCAAUAACGUAUACGAUUACAACGUUUUUUCCUUUUAAUAUUAAUUAUUAUUCUUCUGGUUGAGGGUUAUUUAUUGCAUGUAUACAAACACAAUAAUAUUUCUCAUUAUUUGUAACAUUUCCAAAUACUUUUCUAUUAUUUGUUUAUACUUUCGUUUGAAAAUAAAUUAACCGACGGAUUUGGCAAUUUGUGCAUGCGAGCAAACGCAUUUUCUGAACAUACGAUAUAUAUUAUUAUGUGAUACUUGGGCUUUUAUUAUAACGAAGAAAUGUUCCGAGUUGCAUGUGCUCUAACUACAUUUUAUUUCUGUGAUACGGAGAACAUCAGAUUUGUAUUUGCAGCGGUGAAGGAUACUAUCUUGCAAUCUAAUCUAAAGGAAUAUAAUCUGGUCUAGAUGAAAGGAUUUGGAUAUUGGUGUGAAGUCAACUAUUACUUUAUCAUCUUAACCAAAGUAUUGCAGUGUAGACAUUGUUUAAAUGAUACAAA